UAAUACAGAGGGUGCGAGCGUUAAUCGGAAUUACUGGGCGUAAAGCGUGCGUAGACGGUUAUUUAAGUCGGGUGUGAAAGCCCCGGGCUCAACCUGGGAAUUGCAUUCGAGACUGAAUAGCUAGGGUGCGGAAGAGGGAAGCGGAAUUUCCGGUGUAGCGGUGAAAUGCGUAGAUAUCGGAAGGAACACCAGUGGCGAAAGCGGCUUCCUGGUCCAGCACCGACGUUCAGGCACGAAAGCGUGGGGAGCAAACAGGAUUAGAUACCCUGGUAGUCCACGCCAUAAACGAUGAGGACUAGACGUUGAGAGGGUAAGCCUCCCAGUGUCGCAGCUAACGCGAUAAGUCCUCCGCCUGGGGAGUACGGCCGCAAGGUUG
rnacentral:rRNA from 1 species